UAAAAUUGUUCUUACUUUAGUGACAAUCCUCACACAACCUUGUGAUUAUUAGACGAUGACACAAGUUAGUCUCCUCGUUCAUGAGUACCUCAUCGUUUAUUUCGUUGCGGACGGCCAACGGAUUUAAAGGUGGCGUACGUGUACCGGUGCGUUAGGUACAAUCUACUUCGGUCGAACCGGUACGCUUCUCUAUUCCGUCUCCAUGGUGCCUAGUUUUUAGGGGUCGCGGAAGGUAGGGGUGAGGUGCGCUGGUUCUGUCCGCCUCUGCUGAUGCCGGCCAGCCGAUGAAGUGGCCGCCGCUCUUUUUGAGGGCGGCGCGAGAAGGAGCAGGCUCCUAGGAGGUCCCUCGUCUCACGGGCCGCGCUGCGGCAACCUCCGCGGCAAGCGCUCGGGCUCACGGCGCCCCGAGGCGCACGGCCUCGCCGGCGAGCUGCCACCUGAGCGGUCGCUCUGCGGCUCCCGGUUCUCCGCCACUGCUUGGGGUCUCGCGCCGCUUUUGACUCCCCACCGGUCGCAGCCCCUGCCGUCCGCGCCGCAGCCGCAGCCGCAGCUGUUGGUGCACCAACCUCCUCGGCGGGCGCGGGUUUGGUUUCUGCUUCCUCCUACGCGGCCAGCAGCGGCUCUGCUUCCGGUCACGCACCGACCACCGCUGGAGUUGCUGGCGCCCCCAGCCUCUACCGUCCGCGCCGCCGUGCUACCGCAGCGAACCCUGCACGCGGUGGCUGCCGUUGGAGACCUCGCGACACCUCGGUUCCCGACGCUGUCCGCUCCGUCGCAAACGGACAUCGGCUGCCCGGGUCUACCUCCGGUGGUGCCCCCUGGAGUGGCCCCGGCUACCGGCAGCGCGCUCUUCGCGUUGCUCCGAGACUCGCCCGCGACAGUACGGCGCCGUAGCGUAUCGGAGGCGCAGUGCGCCGCGGCCAGCACUUCUGGUACGCGUGUAGGCGGUUCGCUGCCUCCCGAGACGUUGACGGCACUCCUACGACGACACACGGACCUCUAUCAGCGGCGCACGCGUCUGGGCCUCUUACGGUUUUUCGAAGUAAGACUAAAUACACUUAUAUUCGCAGACUCCAGGUCACCGUUACGAUGUUUUAGUAAGGUCUGAACUCAUAGACCUAGUGUGAUGAUGACCAGUAUAGAACGCCAAGUAUGUCGCCCGAAUACUGUCUCGUUCAGUACCGGAGUACCGUACCCCAGGGAAAGAAGUCGGUUGACUUCGUGAACUACAAUCGAACAGAAACGAAAACCUAUUUAAGAUCACGUAUAAGAUUAUUAUCUAGGAUUACAAUAUCGUAUGUGGGUAUAACUACAUGUACCACUCUGAUCCUGGUUUGAACCCUCAUCAGUUCCCCGUCGUUUAACUACCAAUGUUGUACUGGACCUUAACGAAACGCAAGGACCUUAGGUUAACCGACGGGAUUUUUACAUAACGUCGUAGAACUUAGGCGGUCACAAUAAAACACAAUUGUUCUGAAAAUUCCGAACGUAAACACGGUGGUCACGUGAAGUACACUACUACGUGUGUCUAAAGAAGUAUCCUUAGUCGAGAAGUCAAAUUCCGAAAGUCUACAAGUGGAAGUUUUAUAAUGACAACCAUGGUCUCCU
rnacentral:rRNA from 1 species